AAGGUAGCCGUACGAGAACGUGCGGCUGGAUCACCUCCUUUCUAAGGAGUAAACAUACGUUUUAAGUUUGCUUAAACGGGAUGUUAACGGUCGAUUCUUGAUUUACAGUGUUUGGGAUUGUCUUCUUUUGCGGGGCGUUUAUUUGCGUGUUAUUUGGUUGUUUUGUGCGCUGAAAGUGGUAGAGUUACGACACUAUGGUCAAACAGCUUUAUGUUGGCGUACCAAUGUGAGGUUGCUUGAUUACAGACUAUAUCUUUAAACGGGCGUAAGUGAGUGGUUGUUUAAGCGGGCCUAUAGCUC
rnacentral:misc_RNA from 1 species